rnacentral:misc_RNA from 1 species
GAAAUGCGAUAAGUAGUGUGAAUUGCAGAAUUCAGUGAAUCAUCGAAUCUUUGAACGCACAUUGCGCCCUUUGGUAUUCCAAAGGGCAUGCCUGUUCGAGCGUCAUUUGUACCCUCAAGCCUUGCUUGGUGUUGGGCGCUUUGUCUUGCGAGACUCGCCUUAAAACAAUUGGCAGCCAGCAUACUGGUUUUGAAGCGCAGCACAAAUUGCGCUUCUGCUAUGCAUGCGGGCGUCCAUGAAGCGUACUCUAUUUCACGUUUGACCUCGGAUCAGGUAGGGAUACCCGCUGAACUUAA